GAUGAACGCUGGCGGCGUGCCUAAUACAUGCAAGUCGAGCGAACGGACGAGAAGCUUGCUUCUCUGAUGUUAGCGGCGGACGGGUGAGUAACACGUGGAUAACCUACCUAUAAGACUGGGAUAACUUCGGGAAACCGGAGCUAAUACCGGAUAAUAUUUUGAACCGCAUGGUUCAAAAGUGAAAGACGGUCUUGCUGUCACUUAUAGAUGGAUCCGCGCUGCAUUAGCUAGUUGGUAAGGUAACGGCUUACCAAGGCAACGAUGCAUAGCCGACCUGAGAGGGUGAUAGGCCACACUAGAACUGAGACACGGUCCAGACUCCUACGGGAGGCAGCAGUAGGGAAUCUUCCGCAAUGGGCGAAAGCCUGACGGAGCAACGCCGCGUGAGUGAUGAAGGUCUUCGGAUCGUAAAACUCUGUUAUUAGGGAAGAACAUAUGUGUAAGUAACUGUGCACAGCGUGACGGUACCUAAUCAGAAAGCCACGGCUAACUACGUG
rnacentral:rRNA from 1 species